CCUUUCAAAAGGAAAAUAGGUACACGAAAAUUUCGUUUCGUGUUUAAAAGGGAAGCUUGGUGAAACUCCAACACGGUCCCGCCACUGUAAAUGCUGAGAUUUCUUUGUUAGUGCCACUGUGAGAACGGGAAGGUGAAAGAAAUUAUAUGAAGCAUAAGUCAGGAGACCUGCCUGUUUUAACAACACUGA
rnacentral:ncRNA from 2 species